GUCCACGCUGUAAACGAUGAAUACUAGAUGUUGGUCGUAAAGAUCAGUGUCGCAGCUAACGCAUUAAGUAUUCCGCCUGGGGAGUACGGUCGCAAGAUUAAAACUCAAAGGAAUUGACGGGGACCCGCACAAGCGGUGGAGUAUGUGGUUUAAUUCGAAGCAACGCGCAGAACCUUACCAGCUCUUGACAUGGGACGUAUAGGGAUCAGAGAUGAUUUCUUUCACUUCGGGUGGCGUCCGCACAGGUGCUGCAUGGCUGUCGU
rnacentral:rRNA from 1 species